UACGUAGGGGGCAAGCGUUGUCCGGAUUUAUUGGGCGUAAAGAGCGUGUAGGCGGCCAGGUAGGUCCGUUGUGAAAACUGGAGGCUUAACCUCCAGCUGUCGAUGGAAACCAUCUGGCUAGAGUCCGGAAGAGGAGAGUGGAAUUCCUGGUGUAGCGGUGAAAUGCGCAGAUAUCAGGAGGAACACCGGUGGCGAAGGCGGAUCUCUGGGCCUUACCUGACGCUGAGGCGCGAAAGCUAGGGGAGCGAACAGG
rnacentral:rRNA from 1 species